CCUACGGGCGGCUGCAGUGAGGAAUAUUGGUCAAUGGGCGGGAGCCUGAACCAGCCAAGUCGCGUGAGGGAAGACGGUCCUAUGGAUUGUAAACCUCUUUAGGCGGGGAGCAAUGCCGGGCACGUGUGCCCGGAGGGAGAGUACCCGCAGAAUAAGCAUCGGCUAACUCCGUGCCAGCAGCCGCGGUAAUACGGAGGAUGCGAGCGUUAUCCGGAUUGAUUGGGUUUAAAGGGUGUGUAGGCGGAUUUUUAAGUCAGCGGUAAAAUGUCCGGGCUCAACCCGGGCCGGCCGUUGAAACUGGGGAUCUUGAGUGGGCGAGAAGUAUGCGGAAUGCGUGGUGUAGCGGUGAAAUGCAUAGAUAUCACGCAGAACUCCGAUUGCGAAGGCAGCAUACCGGCGCCCGACUGACGCUGAGGCACGAAAGCGUGGGGAUCGAACAGGAUUAGAUACCCCAGUAGUC
rnacentral:rRNA from 1 species